GCAUAUGGGAAUGAUGCUGUAGUCUCUCAAAGGGUUUCAACAUGCCCACAACCCUAGCAGCAUCUCCAGCAAGGAUUGCUCUGGGGUGGGCUGCCCUACCUAUUCUCAGCACAGCACAGAGUCUCUUUGGGGAAUGAAGCUUCUGAGCUAGCAGCAGAGAGCUGCCACAGCCCUUUGGAUCACAGUCAGCAAAUCUGCAUGCAUGAAAACGCAGAAGAAUUUGAAAGAAGAUACUAGGAUCUGAGAGGGAUAGCUUCAACAUUAGGGGUGGCAUUUUUUUUUUCCAAAUGAAAAACAUAAAACGGAGGGAAAUUCAUCUCAGGUUUAUUUUGUUUCCAUAUCCAAUACAUCCCUUGAGCAGAAUGAAUUUUGAUAUUUGCCUUUGAAGGAGCAGGGAGGCCACUCUUCCCAAAUAUUUACCAGUUUAAGAGACAACAAUGGAAGAAAAAUAAACACUUUGAAGACACAACCACUGAACCAAGAUACUGGUGAGUCACAGUUAUCCUGCUGCUCCAAUGCAGUUAAGAGAGAUGGCUCUGAAUCCUGCUCCAUUUUGUGCAACAUAAACAGAAUUUAUGCUGCAAUUAUAAAGUCAGAUUCUGCCUGCAGUUAUACCUUGUAACUCCCAUGAAGAAAACAAGUUGAGUGCAGCUGAAGACAGUGUGGCCUCUGCAAUCUUUAUUGCCAAUAGCAAACAUGAACCCAAGAGAACCCAGCUCGACUUUCAGAUGUAAGGUUGAGUUUAUCUUGGUAGCC
rnacentral:lncRNA from 1 species